AUGCCAUGAUGAGGGCAUUUUCUUAGUAACUCCUUGAACCGCUCCCAUGCCUCAUAUAAAGAAUCAUCGUCGAGUUGCUGAAAUGAAGUGAUUUCAUGGCGGAGCUU